AGCAGCUUCGUCAAAUUCAGCACCGCCCAUUUCCUGGCGGCCGCUGGCCAAUGGGCUGCGACAGAAUUUUGUAGCUCAUGGGCCCCGUUUCCUCUGCGGUAGGAUUUGGGGAUACAAUUGUGCUACAGACACUU